AGCGAACGUUAGCGGCGGGCCUAACACAUGCAAGUCGAACGAGAAAACCUUCGGGUGAGUACAGUGGCGCACGGGUGAGGAACGCGUAGGUAAUCCACCCUCUGGCGGGGGACAACACUCCGAAAGGAAUGCUAAUACCGCGUAAGACCACGCUCACUACGGUGAAAGUGGUUAAAGGUGCCUCAAAGCACCACCAGAGGACGAGCCUGCGUCCCAUCAGCUUGUUGGUAAGGUAACGGCUUACCAAGGCGAAGACGGGUAGCUGGUCUGAGAGGAUGAUCAGCCACACUGGCACUGGAACACGGGCCAGACUCCUACGGGGAGGCAGCAGUGAGGAAUAUUGGGCAAUGGGCGCAAGCCUGACCCAGCCACGCCGCGUGUGUGAUGAAGGCCUUCGGGUCGUAAAGCACUGUGGGGAGAGACGAAACAGCGCACCAGGAAAUGGGUGCGCCUUGACGGUACCUCCUUAGCAAGCACCGGCUAACUCUGUGCCAGCAGCC
rnacentral:rRNA from 1 species